GACGACUUAUCCAAGUGGUUACGGAGUCAGAUUUGAAUAUAUCAAUUAUCUGAUGCAGUUUCUGCGCGUAGGUUCGAACCCUGCAGUCGUCG